AGAGUUUGAUCCUGGCUCAGAUUGAACGCUGGCGGCAGGCCUAACACAUGCAAGUCGAGCGCGAAAGCCUUUCGGGGUGAGUAGAGCGGCGGACGGGUGAGUAACGCGUAGGAAUCUACCCGGUAGUGGGGGACAACUCAGGGAAACUCGAGCUAAUACCGCAUACGCCCUUCGGGGGAAAGCGGGGGACCUUCGGGCCUCGCGCUAUCGGAUGAGCCUGCGUUGGAUUAGCUGGUUGGUGGGGUAAUGGCCUACCAAGGCGACGAUCCAUAGCUGGUCUGAGAGGAUGAUCAGCCACACCGGGACUGAGACACGGCCCGGACUCCUACGGGAGGCAGCAGUGGGGAAUAUUGCGCAAUGGGCGGAAGCCUGACGCAGCCAUGCCGCGUGUGUGAAGAAGGCCCUAGGGUUGUAAAGCACUUUCACUUGGGAGGAAAAGGUUGCGGUUAAUAGCCGUAGCUCUUGACGCUACCUUGAGAAGAAGCACCGGCUAACUCCGUGCCAGCAGCCGCGGUAAUACGGAGGGUGCGAGCGUUAAUCGGAAUUACUGGGCGUAAAGCGCGCGUAGGCGGUUUGUUAAGUCGGAUGUGAAAGCCCCGGGCUCAACCUGGGAAUUGCACCCGAUACUGGCCGACUGGAGUGCGAGAGAGGGAGGUAGAAUUCCACGUGUAGCGGUGAAAUGCGUAGAUAUGUGG
rnacentral:rRNA from 1 species